rnacentral:rRNA from 1 species
GACGGGGGGGGCAAGUGUUCUUCGGAAUGACUGGGCGUAAAGCGCACGUAGGCGGAUUGCUAAGUCAGGGGUGAAAUCCUGGAGCUCAACUCCAGAACUGCCUUUGAUACUGGCGAUCUUGAGUCCGGGAGAGGUGAGUGGAACUGCGAGUGUAGAGGUGAAAUUCGUAGAUAUUCGCAAGAACACCAGUGGCGAAGGCGGCUCACUGGCCCGGUACUGACGCUGAGGUGCGAAAGCGUGGGGAGCAAACAGG